UACGAGGACUAGGGAGCUUGCUCCCUAUAGCCGAGUGGCGAACGGGUGCGUAACACGUGACCAACCUGUCUUCGGGAGGGGGACAACCUGGGGAAACCCGGGCUAAUACCGCAUAUCGUCUCCGUGCCGCAUGACGUGGAGAUAAAAGAGGGCCUCUGCUCGCAAGCUCUCGCCUGAAGAGGGGGUCGCGGCGUAUCAGCUAGUUGGUGGGGUAACGGCCUACCAAGGCCACGACGCGUAGCGGGUCUGAGAGGAUGGCCCGUCACAUUGGGACUGAGAUACGGCCCAGACUCCUACGGGAGGCAGCAGUAAGGAAUAUUGCGCAAUGGGCGAAAGCCUGACGCAGCGACGCCGCGUGUGGGAGGAAGCCUUUCGGGGUGUAAACCACUGUCAGGGGGGAAGAACCAUCCAGGUGCGAAUAGCUACUGGAUUUGACGGUACCCCCAGAGGAAGCGCCGGCCAACUCCGUGCCAGCAGCCGCGGUAAGACGGAGGGCGCAAGCGUUGUUCGGAAUUACUGGGCGUAAAGCGCGGGCAGGCUGUCCGUUAAGUCUUCUGUGAAACUCCGGGGCUCAACUCCGGACAUGCAGGAGAUACUGGCGGACUGGAGACCGGUAGAGGCUAGCGGAAUUCCUGGUGUAGCGGUGGAAUGCGUAGAUAUCAGGAAGAACACCUGUGGCGAAGGCGGCUAGCUGGGCCGGAUCUGACGCUGAUCUGCGAAAGCGUGGGGAGCAAACAGGAUUAGAUACCCUGGUAGUCCACGCCGUAAACGAUGAGAACUAGAUGUCGGGAGGAUUUAGCC
rnacentral:rRNA from 1 species